GGUGCAGGCCGGAGCCCACCGAGCGGAGAGGAGCCGAUUGGAGGGUGGGCAGCGGAGUGAACCAACGCCCCGACUUACUUACCCGCGCUCCCCGUUUCAUCGGAUUGCCCAGCUCGCAGGUGGCCUCGGAGCCGUUCUGAUUGGCCACGCAAACCACCUGCUGUUCCUGCGGAGGAGAGAGGAGAGAAGAUCACAAGCGGCUCCUGCGAAGCGCUUUGGGACGUCCCCGUUUGGGUGGGGGACCGGUACCUGAGGA